ACAUAACUGAUGCCUCCGCGUAUCGACUUUGUGCGCAUUUUAGCUAUUAUGUGUUCUUUUAAUUAAAAUGAUUCUUUUUAAGAUUCAUCUAUUAAAAAUUUGCUUCGGCAUAAUUUUUUUUGAUGAUCUUGUUACUUUGAGUAAAUUAGAGUGUUCAAAGCAAACAGAUAUAGCAUUUGUGCGUUUGAAUACUACAGCAUGGAAUAACAAAAUUGAACAAGUCAGAAUUUUUUUGUUCUUUUUUCUUAUUUUGGCUUAGUUACGAUUAAUAGGAGUAGCUUGGGGGCAUUUGUAUUCAGAUGUCAGAGGUGAAAUUCUUAGAUUUUCUGGAGACAAACAACUGCGAAAGCAUUUGCCUAAAAUACUUCCAUUAAUCAAGAACGAAAGUUAAGGGAGUGAAGACGAUCAGAUACCGUCGUAAUCUUAACCAUAAACUAUGCCGACUAGGCUUUGGAUGAAAGAUUUUAAAAUAAGAGUUUUUCUUUUCUCUCCGGAGAUUAGAACUCUUAGAUUGCUUCCUUCAGUGCCUUAUGAGAAAUCAAAGUCUUUGGGUUCUGGGGCGAGUAUUCGCGCAAGCGAGAAAGUUAAAAGAAUUGACGGAAGGGCACCACCAGGCGUGGAGCUUGCGGCUUAAUUUGACUCAACACGGGAAAACUCACUAGUUUAAGACAAGAGUAGGAUUGACAGAUUAAUAGCUCUUUCUUGAUUUCUUGGAUGGUGAUGCGUGGCCGUUUUUAGUUCGUGAAUAUGAUUUGUCUGGUUAAUUCCGAUAACGAACGAGAUCUUAACCUGCUAAUUAGCGGCAAAUACGAUAUAUUCUUAUGUAGAAUUGAAUAUAGUGGAUUUGUUAGAUUUUGAAGAAAAUAUUGGAAUUACGUUAAAUGUGAUUCCUUUCCCUUUUCUACUUAAUUUACAUUUCCAUCUAUUUCUUUUUUGCGUAUGAAUGUAUUUGCUUGAUUGUAAAGCUUCUUAGAGGAACGAUGUGUG
rnacentral:rRNA from 1 species